rfam:Oryza rufipogon genomic scaffold, chr05
AAUAAGUGCAGUUUUAGCACUAUUUAUGUUCAACGUUUGACCGUUCGUCUUAUUUGAAAAAAGAUUAUGAUUAAUAUUUUUAUUGUUAUUAGAUGAUAAAACAUGAAUACUACCUUAUAUGUGACUAUUUUUUUUAAUAUUUUUUUAUAAAUUUUUCAAAUAAGACGGAUGGUCAAAGCGCUAAACACGGAUAUAUAUGGCUGCACUUAUU